UGGCGGCAGGCCUAACACAUGCAAGUCGAGCGGUAGAGAGAAGCUUGCUUCUCUUGAGAGCGGCGGACGGGUGAGUAAUGCCUAGGAAUCUGCCUGGUAGUGGGGGAUAACGCUCGGAAACGGACGCUAAUACCGCAUACGUCCUACGGGAGAAAGCAGGGGACCUUCGGGCCUUGCGCUAUCAGAUGAGCCUAGGUCGGAUUAGCUAGUUGGUGAGGUAAUGGCUCACCAAGGCGACGAUCCGUAACUGGUCUGAGAGGAUGAUCAGUCACACUGGAACUGAGACACGGUCCAGACUCCUACGGGAGGCAGCAGUGGGGAAUAUUGGACAAUGGGCGAAAGCCUGAUCCAGCCAUGCCGCGUGUGUGAAGAAGGUCUUCGGAUUGUAAAGCACUUUAAGUUGGGAGGAAGGGCAGUAACCUAAUACGUUAUUGUUUUGACGUUACCGACAGAAUAAGCACCGGCUAACUCUGUGCCAGCAGCCGCGGUAAUACAGAGGGUGCAAGCGUUAAUCGGAAUUACUGGGCGUAAAGCGCGCGUAGGUGGUUUGUUAAGUUGAAUGUGAAAUCCCCGGGCUCAACCUGGGAACUGCAUCCAAAACUGGCAAGCUAGAGUAGGGCAGAGGGUGGUGGAAUUUCCUGUGUAGCGGUGAAAUGCGUAGAUAUAGGAAGGAACACCAGUGGCGAAGGCGACCACCUGGGCUCAUACUGA
rnacentral:rRNA from 1 species